CUACAUACAAACCCAAACCAAAUUAUUCAACGCCCAAAGACACCCCCCAACUCUUCUUCUACCUCCCUUUCUUUCACUAAUUUCACACCCCUUCUCUCUCUCUCUCUCUAUAUAUAUAUAUAUAUACACGAAUUGUGUCUAAUUAAUCUAGCGUGAGUGUGUGUAUUUCCGUGUUGCAUCGGAAUUGCUACAAAAUGUGGAGAUCACGUUCUUGAUCCUCGAUUCAUAACACUCUCUCUCUCCCCCCUCUCUCUCUCUCUCUAAAUAUAUAUAUAAAAACAAGAUUUGUAUCUAUAAUUAAUUUUCCCACGCGCCAUGCGGGUGAAGGAGAUGCACCCGCUCUGCUGCAUAACCCUCGAGACUCACGUCGCCGGCGCCGCCGGCGCCGGCGACGCCUCCCCGGAACCCAUCCUCCUCCGCACCGGCUCCGCCGUCAAUCUCUUCGACAGCGGAUCUGACCCCGCCGCCAAUUCCGACGCCGGCGCCACCACCGUCGCCGGAAUCCUCUACAAGUGGACCAACUACGGCAAGGGCUGGCGAUCCCGCUGGUUCACCUUACGCGACAACGGUGUCCUCUCCUACUCCAAAACCUCCCGCCGCCGCUCCGCCGCCGCUCUCCCCGCCGCCGCCGCCGCCGAUCUCCGCCGGAAACACGCGAAAACCGCCGGCAUUGUCCAUCUGAAGAUAUCCUCUUUUCGCGAGAGUAAAUCCGAUGAUCGGAGGUUUUACAUAUUUACCGCGACAAAGACGCUUCAUUUAAGGACGAACUCCAAGAAAGAAAGAGCGGCGUGGAUAGAGGCUUUAAUUUCGACAAGAAGCCUUUUCUCACUAAGACCACAAACUGACGAAGAAAAUCCUCUUCUAACUAGAAAUUUGUCGAUUUCCACCGAUCGAUUGAAGCACCGUUUGCUCGACGAAGGAGUCGAUGAAGAGGUCGUUAAAGAUUGCGAGCAAAUCAUGCUCUCGGAGUUUUCUGGCAUACAAGGACAGUAUCGAGCUCUUUGCCAAGAACGAUCCAAUUUAUUGGAUACAUUGAAGCAAUUAGAGGCUGCAAAUAUCGAAGGCGAAACAUCUGGAAUCAACGAUGGCGAGUUCCAAUUAAUGAAGCACGGAUAUACAAAUGUAGCGCGGGGGAAAUACGGUGAGUGGAGCACAACCGAAUCGUCGGAUGAGAUCGAAAAGCAAGAGCUCGAGGAAGCGUCCGACAGCGAGGAGACCCAUUUUUUUGACACAAAUGAGUGUUUUCCCGAUCCGGGAUCAGCCGUCGUAAAUUGCAUGGAUAGUUGUCAGAAAUUGGAAAGUCCGAGUAACGAGUCGAAAAGAAUCGACGCGUACCCCUGUAUUAAAAGGCGGACGAAGUUGCCGGAUCCCGUCGAGAAGGAGAAAGGCGUAAGUCUAUGGUCAAUGAUCAAGGACAACAUUGGUAAGGAUUUGACGAGGGUCUGUCUCCCCGUGUACUUCAACGAACCGAUAUCGUCGCUGCAAAAAUGUUUCGAAGAGUUAGAGUAUUCACAUCUUUUGGAUCAGGCUUACGAGCAUGGCAAAAUGGGGAACGGUCUUAUGAGGAUAUUAAACGUCGCCGCUUUUGCGGUCUCCGGAUAUGCUUCGUCGGAAGGUCGCCAUUGUAAGCCGUUCAAUCCAUUACUCGGCGAAACAUACGAAGCUGAUUACCCUGAGAAAGGGCUUCGAUUCUUCGCCGAAAAGGUCAGUCACCACCCGACGCUCAUUGCUUGUCAUUGCGAAGGUAAAGGUUGGAAAUUUUGGUGCGACACAAACCUUAAGUCGAAAUUUUGGGGAAGAUCGAUACAGGUAGACCCGGUCGGAACUCUUAAUUUGGAGUUCGACGACGGCGAAGUCUUCCAAUGGAGCAAGGUCACAACGAGCAUCAAUAAUUUAAUCCUCGGAACGAUAUAUUGCCACCACCAUGGAACCAUGCACAUACGAGGGAAUCGACAAUACUCGUGCAAGCUCAAGUUCAAGGAGCUGUCGAUUCUCGAGCGCAAUCCGCGGCAGGUGAACGGAUUUGUGGAAGAUGAAAUGGGGCAUAAGGUCGCGCAAUUAUUCGGAAAGUGGGACGAAAGUAUGUAUUUUGUACACGGAGAGGGAACUAGCGGCGCAAAAGAUGGGCCCGAGGCGUCGAUCUUGUGGAAAAGGAAUAUGCCACCCGUAAACCUCACCCGUUAUAACUUAACGUCGUUCGCCAUUACGCUUAAUGAAUUGGUGCCGGGACUCAAGGAGAAGCUCCCGCCGACUGAUUCGAGGCUUCGACCCGAUCAACGGUUUUUAGAAAAUGGCGAAUUCGAGAAGGCAAAUGAAGAGAAGCUCCGGCUCGAGACGAGACAGAGAAUGUCUAGGAAAUUGCAAGAAGAUGGUUGGAAACCUCGAUGGUUCCGAAGAGACGGCGAAGGACCCUUUUAUUACAUUGGCGGAUAUUGGGAAGCCCGGGAACAAGGAAAAUGGGAUGGAUGCCCGGACAUUUUUGGCGAAAUCUUACAAUGCUCUUGACCUCAAAAUAAUAGGACUAAAAAAGUCUCGGCCGAGGAUUGGAAGGUGCGCUAUCUACUAUAAGCCUCGACAGAUGUAGGAAGUUCCGGGCUCUUUAUGAUAGAGCGCCGUUUGCAAUGAAAAUGGAAUUGAAGUGAAUAUAUUGGGCUGAGGAGAUCUACGCGGAUAAUGCAGCCAUCCCCAACCAGACCGACGAGCAAAGCAAUGUUCUUCGUGUUCUAGAGAAAUUUGGACAUAGCUUAUUUAGAAGUCUCCGGAACCAGCACCUCUAGGUGAUGAGUUCAAGUGAUGAGUUCUUGAUGUUUCAAUUCGAUACCCCAAACAAACCUAUAUCCAAAAAAGGCUAGAGAAAGAAAAGAUGUCCGAAUCAUUUAAAAAAGAUGUUGAAACUCCUUAAU